rnacentral:rRNA from 1 species
UACGUAGGGUGCAAGCGUUGUCCGGAAUUAUUGGGCGUAAAGAGCUCGUAGGCGGUUUGUCGCGUCUGCUGUGAAAUCCCAGGGCUUAACCCUGGGCCUGCAGUGGGUACGGGCAAACUGGAGUGCGGUAGGGGAGAUCGGAAUUCCUGGUGUAGCGGUGAAAUGCGCAGAUAUCAGGAGGAACACCGGUGGCGAAGGCGGAUCUCUGGGCCGUAACUGACGCUGAGGAGCGAAAGCAUGGGUAGCGAACAGG